UGAGGAGCUUGCUCUUCAAAUCGAGUGGCGAACGGGUGAGUAACGCGUGAGGAACCUGCCUCAAAGAGGGGGACAACAGUUGGAAACGACUGCUAAUACCGCAUAAGCCCACAGCUCGGCAUCGAGCAGAGGGAAAAGGAGCAAUCCGCUUUGAGAUGGCCUCGCGUCCGAUUAGCUAGUUGGUGAGGUAACGGCCCACCAAGGCGACGAUCGGUAGCCGGACUGAGAGGGUGAUCGGCCACAUUGGGACUGAGACACGGCCCAAACUCC
rnacentral:rRNA from 1 species